UUACAUUCGAAAUUUUCUUCAUAUCUGUUUUAGCAAUCAAGCGACGCCAUCGAGUAAAAUCCAAAGAUUAAAUUUAAAACAAAAUGAGCGGAAAUCAACCAACCACCUUGGAUGCUUUGAAAAACGCAGAAACUCUUUAUAAAGAAGAAGUCAAAGCACUCACAACGAAAAUCGCCGAUCUGGAAAAAGAAAUGGGCACACAAAAAAAAGAAUUAGACACACAAAAAAAAGAAAUAGACACACAAAAAAAAGAAAUAGACACACAAAAAAAAGAAAUAGACACACAAAAGAACAAAAUCGACGCUCUUGAGACCGAUCUCAGAAACCUCAGACAACAAUUCAACAACUUCCAAAAUCAGCAAAAAAAAUGUGACGACUGUAAAAAUCCUGUUGGAAGAGGCAAAAAACUGUACUGUACAGAUUGUGUCGCUGAAAAAGCAAGAGGCAUCAAAACAGACAUAAAUAAUUCAUACAAUAGAUCAUUCCGAGAUCGCUACCCUGGGUACAACGGACGACACAUUUGAGAAGUCGAAAGAAUCAUGACCGCAAAGUUUCGAGACCAAUAUGGACGAAUUUGACAACUAGGGAAAAUAAUUAAAUAUAACAACAACAUUGGUUAAGAUAAACUACGAGAUAUUAAAAAUAAAUUGACCAUUUAAUCACAA